CAGUGAGAAAAAUUUUGAAAUCUUUGAAUCUCAGUGAUUUCCAGAAGUAUUAAGAUUUGCACUGUGAACUUGAUGUGUUCUUAGUGGAAAGAGCAAGACCACAGACUCAUUCCGGGACACACAGGAAGUAUGGAACCACACAUCCAGCCAGUUACAGGAACUCUAGAGAGUGCCAGCAAUAUUAUUCCCUGAGAGCCAAGGCAAACAAACCCACCCCUCUCCAUUCUGAAGGCUGACAACCAGGGAAGGGAAAGGCAAUUCUCAACAUCCUUCCACUGGGCCUGAAAUGGGAGGCAACCUGAGUGUCCAAAAGCUGUGCCUGACUCUUCUAAAGAUCCUGCAGUGAGGGAACCAUGGACAUAAACUGCUGCUGACCUGAACUCAGAGACCUCUGGCAUCAGAGUCCACAUUCCCUUGAGGAUGGCAUAUGGACUGUCUAAAGCUGAAUUCUCAGAGGGUGGCAUUUCUUAUGAUAAUUUGCUAUGUAUUAAUACGUGUUACUUAUUUUUAUUUAUUUUUCUUGUUUGAAAUAUGCUCGCAUGUAGCGCUGGCUGGCCUUGAAGUUGUGUUCCUCAUGCUUCAGUCACUCAGGUGCUGGAAUGACAGAUGUAUGCCACCAUGACUGGCUUUGUACAUUAUAACUUAAGAUCUAUGCUUAUUAGUGUGUGAGGUGGUUUGAAGAGGAAUGGCUCCCAUAGAAGUCAUGUGUGUGGAUGCGUGGCCCAUAGACAGUGGUAAUAUUGGGCAGUGGCAAUAGGAUGUGGUGUGGCCUUCCUGGUGUAGGCAUGGUCUUGUUGGAGGAAGUGUGUCACUGUGGAGGUGGGUUUUUAGGACUUAUAAAUGCUCCAGCUAUGCCUAGUGUCUCAGUCUCCUUCUGCUGCCUGCGGAUCAAGAUGCAGAACUCUCAGCUCCUUCUCUAGCACUGUCUGCUUGCCUGCCACCAUGCUUCCUGCCAUGAUGAAAAUGGACUAACUCUCUGAAACUGUAAGCCAGCCCCAAAUGAAUGUUUUCACUUAUAAGAGUUGCUGUAGUCAUGAUGUCUCUUAACACUAAUGAAACCCUAACUAAAACAGUGUGAUUGUCCUCUCCGUGCCCAUGUGCAUAGUGAUUGGAAAACAGAGAGCAAAAGAGAGCCAGGAGAACACCCAGUAAGAAGAAGGCAACGCUGAAUCCAGGGCUGCCCAGACUCCUGUGGACCAGAUUUUCCCACAGAGAGGGGCCUUACCUAGACACUGUGGGUAGGUCUGGGGUGGGGCCUGAGAAUCUGGCAUUUCUGACAGAGCUAUAGGUGCUACUCAUGUACAACAAAGAAGGAAAUAGAGACAGGAUUGGGAAAGAUGGGAUUGAGAAGAUGGCUCAGUCAGUUAUACACUUCCUCACAAGCUGUGGGAAUCUGAGUCCAAAGCUGAGCACAGUGGC